CAAAGAGAAAAGUAAUUUUACAACUGCCUCAGUUGGUUAAGAUUCUCUUUUUGUAGAUCUUGUCAAAAUGAGGAUCCUAGCCAUAGAGGCUGUUGGGAAAGAACUUUGCAGUCAAGC
rnacentral:precursor_RNA from 12 species